rnacentral:rRNA from 1 species
GUCUAUGGCCAUACCACCAUGAACGCACCCAAUCUCGUCUGAUCACGGAAGCUAAGCAGGGUCGGACCUGGUCAGUACCUGGAUGGAGUAUUUGAGUGUAAGCUUGCUUUAAAUG